UACAUGGGGUGCAAACGUUGCUCGGAAUUAUUGGGCGUAAAGAGCUCGUAGGCGGUUUUGUCGCGUCUGCUGUGAAAAACCUAGGGCUUAACCCCCGGGGUCGGCAGUGGAUACGGGGCAGGCUAGAGGUAGGUAGGGGAGAAUGGAAAUUCCCGGUGUAGCGGUGAAAUGCGCAGAUAUCGGGAGGAACACCCGGUGGCGAAGGCGGUUCUC
rnacentral:rRNA from 1 species